rnacentral:rRNA from 1 species
AUUGAACGCUGGCGGCAGGCCUAACACAUGCAAGUCGAGCGGAUGAAGGGAGCUUGCUCCUGGAUUCAGCGGCGGACGGGUGAGUAAUGCCUAGGAAUCUGCCUUGUAGUGGGGGAUAACGUCCGGAAACGGGCGCUAAUACCGCAUACGUCCUGAGUGAGAAAGUGGGGGAUCUUCGGACCUCACGCUAUCAGCUGAGCCUAGGUCGGAUUAGCUAGUUGGUGGGGUAAAGGCCUACCAAGGCGACGAUCCGUAACUGGUCUGAGAGGAUGAUCAGUCACACUGGAACUGAGACACGGUCCAGACUCCUACGGGAGGCAGCAGUGGGGAAUAUUGGACAAUGGGCGAAAGCCUGAUCCAGCCAUGCCGCGUGUGUGAAGAAGGUCUUCGGAUUGUAAAGCACUUUAAGUUGGGAGGAAGGGCAGUAAGUUAAUACCUUGCUGUCUUGACGUUACCAACAGAAUAAGCACCGGCUAACUUCGUG